rnacentral:other from 1 species
GAUUUCCUGAAGUGUUGGCCAGUUUCUUGUUUUUACCCACAUUUCACGAAUCGGAGCCCGCGUCGGCGGCAGGAUGUCAUGCCCCCAUGGCAACAUGAUCGGGGACGGCAGAAAGUCAUCGCAGGGCACCGGCCUGCUUAACAUAGCGGGUGAAAAAACAGGAGGCAGCGGCACUUUGGGUUUCCU